rnacentral:rRNA from 1 species
UACGAAGGGUGCAAGCGUUACUCGGAAUUACUGGGCGUAAAGCGUGCGUAGGUGGUUCGUUAAGUCUGAUGUGAAAGCCCUGGGCUCAACCUGGGAAUGGCAUUGGAAACUGGCGACCUAGAGUGCGGUAGAGGGCAGUGGAAUUCCCGGUGUAGCAGUGAAAUGCGUAGAGAUCGGGAGGAACAUCUGUGGCGAAGGCGACUACCUGGCCUGUUUCUUGACGCUGAGGCGCGAAAGCUAGGGGAGCAAACGGGG